rnacentral:lncRNA from 1 species
CAGGUAACAGGGCCGAGUUCAUCCACAGCCACCUGCAGUGUUAGCACCUUAAGCUGAGUUCCUUGCACCAGGAUGCUGUCACGCCCAGUCAGUGUGAGACGGUUCUUGGCUGAAGGACUGAAAAGCUGGUUCCCCUCACCAAGGCUGAGCAAGUGAAAAGGAGGGCACAGGGCAGGCCAGUAGUGAGCAGCAACAAGGAACUAAGACAGCAGAAACCACUCUUCACACCUGGGUUGAAAGGGGUGGGGAGCCAGGACUACAGCUCAGGUAAGAACAUAGGUAAAGAGAUACUGUUGUUGUGUUGUUUUUAACUAUGAGAAGCAUUGAGCUUUAAAUUUCUACAGGAAGGAUCCAGUUCAGACAGGAGCACCCAAUAUUCAGAAGAGAAGAACAUGGUGUAAAGGUCCUGGGAAGGCUGAGAGGAUUGGGACUCAGAAUCCAGAGCAGAAGCCGUCUGUGAACAGAAGAAGGACCUCCCCCAGUGUAGCAAGAGGGAGGGAGGAGGGACAGAUGCCAAGAUGGUUCAGGAAGAAGGUUUGGUGGUAAAUGUGAGGCUGUGCUCACCUGCUGGCUUCAAUUUUCUCUUUAAAAUGUCAGAUGGAAUCAUUUGAUGAAGGCCAUGCCAUGCAAUGAAAUGGCAGUCUGAGGCAUGGAGCAGCUCCAGCUUAGCCCGUGUUUAGGGUAAUUAUGGCUCCAACCCAGGAGAUGAAUAUGACUAGGGAAAGUGAAGUCCAAAAACAAAUGGUCUCAAGUUGACUGUGAGUCUUCUGGGAGGCUGAGACGACAGGUGGGGUUGACAAGGGAAGGGGAACCCACCUGCUGAAAAACAUCAGGCUGUUGGCUGGGGGAGGGGUGAGGCCUGUGUUGUAGAGAUGGAUGGAUGCCUAAAGUUGGGUAAAGGUUUCAACUCUAACCUCUGCUGG